rnacentral:lncRNA from 1 species
GGAGUGUUCUUGAAACAGUACUUGAUUGAUUGCAAAAGAAAAAAAUAUGGGUCCAUGUGCUUGUUUUUUCAAUAAAAGCCAUAUACCUUCAUUUUUUACGACGUCUGCCAGUAUGGCGCUAAAUUACGUUAUAUAAAGUUUUAAUCGCACCAACGUCGUGUAAUCAUUCCCGCCGUACACGACUAUGCUGUCAAGUAUAUGAAGGUGUUUUCCAAAGC